CCUACGGGAGGCAGCAGUGAGGAAUAUUGGUCAAUGGACGAGAGUCUGAACCAGCCAAGUAGCGUGAAGGAUGACUGCCCUAUGGGUUGUAAACUUCUUUUAUAUGGGAAUAAAAUGUUCCACGUGUGGGAUUUUGUAUGUACCCUAUGAAUAAGGAUCGGCUAACUCCGUGCCAGCAGCCGCGGUAAUACGGAGGAUCCGAGCGUUAUCCGGAUUUAUUGGGUUUAAAGGGAGCGUAGGUGGAUUGUUAAGUCAGUUGUGAAAGUUUGCGGCUCAACCGUAAAAUUGCAGUUGAAACUGGCAGUCUUGAGUGCAGUAGAGGUGGGCGGAAUUCGUGGUGUAGCGGUGAAAUGCUUAGAUAUCACGAAGAACUCCGAUUGCGAAGGCAGUUCACUGGACUGCAACUGACAGUGAGGCUCGAAAGUGUGGGUAUCAAACAGGAUUAGAUACCCUAGUAGUC
rnacentral:rRNA from 1 species